rnacentral:rRNA from 1 species
GACGAACGCUGGCGGCGUGCUUAACACAUGCAAGUCGAACGGAAAGGCCCUGCUUUUGUGGGGUGCUCGAGUGGCGAACGGGUGAGUAACACGUGAGUAACCUGCCCUUGACUUUGGGAUAACUUCAGGAAACUGGGGCUAAUACCGGAUAGGAGCUCCUGCUGCAUGGUGGGGGUUGGAAAGUUUCGGCGGUUGGGGAUGGACUCGCGGCUUAUCAGCUUGUUGGUGGGGUAGUGGCUUACCAAGGCUUUGACGGGUAGCCGGCCUGAGAGGGUGACCGGCCACAUUGGGACUGAGAUACGGCCCAGACUCCUACGGGAGGCAGCAGUGGGGAAUAUUGCACAAUGGGCGGAAGCCUGAUGCAGCAACGCCGUGUGCGGGAUGACGGCCUUCGGGUUGUAAACCGCUUUCGCCUGUGACGAAGCGUGAGUGACGGUAAUGGGUAAAGAAGCACCGGCUAAUUACGUG